GUGGAUGUGGUGUAAUGGCAGCAUGCUCGGUUGUGGUCCGUGUGACGCGGGUUCGACUCCCGCCUUCCGCC
rnacentral:tRNA from 1 species